UUUUUGCGAGAUUAUUGCGAUCGUGUUUGAAUCGAAUUUGACUUACUUUAAGAUCUAAGGUUUAGGUUUUGAUCUUCUCUUUGUUGUCGAAAUUGUACCUGACUACCUGCGCAAUCAUUUGACCUCCCCCUACGUUUUCUGCAGAAGAUGCUAGAGGUAACUACGUAUCUAUGAAGUUUCUCCUCACAUGUCAAACCCCAGCUCUGCUCUUCUAUCGAUUUCUUGUUAUUUUUAGUGUUUGAUCAGUUCGGAUAUGAAUUCUAAGCAAAGUACAUUCACUGAAAUGUGAAUUUGAGUGAAUUGUUGUUAGUAAUGUAAAUUACCUGGAGGUAUUCUUCUGUAUUCUGGUGCCUGUCAAAAUUUUCUAUUAUUGUCUACUUUGAAGAAAUUACAAUGUGAUCGUCUUUCUGUAUUAUUGCAGAAAAGCUUUGACGAUUUCUCUAUUAGUGCCGUUAUAUCGUAUCGAAACCACAAUGAAGUUAUAAAGUCAUUAGGUUUUAUGUAUUUCUUGUGCUGUCAGUUUUUCUACUUCAUUUACAUGAUAAAUUGUCAUGCGUGCCAUUCCAGCAAUUUGAUUUCCUUUUGACUUGUAUGAUGAUCAAUUCAAUGAUAUUGUCCGACUCAUCCCCUCUUUUGUUUAAUUUAGUUGAUCUAGGUUUGUAAACAGAAGAUCAGCUAUAAGGUAAUGCAUGUAUUUGUUUAAAACUGAUAUGUCCUGUCUAUAGAUGAUGUAACUCAAUUUUUGAAAUUUUAUGUCUUGUUCAGAUGGCAUAUGAGUUGCAUAGCAUGUUAACUAAUGCUGUUAGCUUGAUGACAUGGGAGAAGGUCAUGCCAGUAUAUGGAGGAGGGAAUGAUAACGACUCAUUUCUUACCAAAGUUGUCAGCCCAUUUUACCGGGUUAUAUCUGAGGUGCUUGGACUUAAAUUCUAUUUGAGUUUUUUUAACUCUCAAUUCUUUAUCUUAAUCUAUUAACAUUUAUAUAUUCCAGGAAGCUGAGAAAAGCAAAAAUGGAACUGCUGAUCGUUCUAAAUGGAGAAACUAUGAUGAUUUGAACGAGUACUUUUGGUCGCCUAACUGUUUUUGAAUAGGUUGACCAAUGCACGUUGAUGAUCAUGAUUUCUUCUUUGUGGAAAAAAAUCUCAAGGUGAUCAACCAGAGAAGAACAUCUUUGUUCGUCUAAAGAAAUUAAGAGGAAAGAGGGUGGUGAAGGAUGAGGAACAUGGGAUCAAGGUUGCAGUUGCAGCUGUACGCAAUAUUCGUGGCUUGCCGUUCAUGGAUGAAUUCAAGAAGCUCAAAUCUUCCAAAUGAUCUUUUGACAUAUUUGACUGGCUAGGCUUUAUCUUCGGGUUUAAGGUACUUGUAAUAAUGUCUAUCAAAUGUUUUGUUCUACAGUAGUUAUGAAUGUAUGACUAGUAUAAUGACCAAAUAUUGGUCUCUAAUUUCUACUGGAGGAUCUCUAAAUUGGGCAUUCAUAAUUUUCUACGACUAUCAGACAAGGAAUGUUGCCAACCAGAGGGAGCAUCUAAUUCUACUUCUUGCAAACACCCACAUCCGACAGAGUCACAAGCUAACAUCAGUGCUGCAGUUCGCAGAUGGUGCAUUGGAUGGACUGAUGAAAAAGUUCUUUAAAAAUUACACAAAGUGGUGCAAAUUCCUAGUAAAAAAAAGUAACAUCCGGUUACCCUAUGGUAAACGGGAAGCCCAACAAUAUAAACUAUUGUAUAUAGCACUUUAUCUUCUAAUUUGGGGAGAGGCUGCAAACUUGGAAAUUCGUUCUCUUUCCGGCAGUUAGUUUUUGGUAAUAAUUCAAUACUUUGAUGCGUUUUUAAAUCUUGGAAAUUCGUUCGAUACCUUUUUCUGUAUGUAUCGAAUAAUCUUUGCAUAUAAUAUAUAGUUCCUGUUAUUAAUGCUGUUUUAAUUAUUGUUGCAUAUUUCCUGAUUUAUAUCACUUUUCCAGAUUAUAACGUGUUUGACGAGUUAUUAGUUGACUUGAAAGUUUUGUAGAAUGAGAAGAGAGAAAAAGCGGUCAAAGCAAGUCGUGAUAUCACUAUGAACAGUAAAAAAGUGAUUUUCCAGGUGAAUAAAUUUCCUAUAAGAACAUGAUGUUUGAAUGCGGUUAGGCAUUUAGCAGUUGUGUGUUUUUAAAUCUGGUUUAUUUGAUAAUGCAAUUGGUUUUUUUCCCCCUGUUUUGGAGUUAUUCAGUUACUUUAUAAAUCAUAGUGCAAUUGCAUUCUUGGUUUUCCUGUGUAAAUUUAAGCCAACAAAAAUAACGAAUUUCCUCGUGCCAAUUUUCUGCUAAAACUGAAUGCGGUAAUUGGGAAACAGGAAAGUCCUCUAAGCUGCUAUGUCCCUGUUUAUAAUAAUUAGACAAUGCAUCCCAUAAAAAAAAUAGACAAUGGAUGAUAUAAUUCAAGCUCCAGUAUAUAUACUAUAUAGGGCCUAUUUCCAUUGUGAUUAGUAUCAGUAACACAUUACACCUGAAGUAGUGGCAAUUGGCAUGGGGUGUACACAUGCGACACAGAGCCCAGGUGGGUCCUAAGGAACACUAGCGCUUUCAAGCAUCAUAUGCCACCAUUCUCAAAGCUCAUAUGACUUCUCUAAAGAACCGAGAAAGGAAGGACAAGCGAAAGGCUGCUGAUUCAGACAAGAAAGCCGGAGAGGGUUCAAAGAAGGUGGUUGCAUCUGCUAAGUAAAUCUUGUUUCUUUUCUUGUAGUCAACAAUAGUCGAGAGAGAUGAUACAGAAGGUUUUAGUUCUCUAUAUAUGCAGCUCGGAAUUUUUUAGGAAAAGAGGGUACAUUUUCGGUGUUUAGAUUUUUGCCCCAUCCCUUUCAAUUAUGUAUUCGUAAUUUUGGUGAUUAGAAGCGUGUUUGUUUUCAAUGUUAUUUGGGUUAAAGCUCAAACAGUUUUGAUUGAAGUUUUAGGCUUGUCGCACAGGUUCUGAUUCCAUACUUAAGCCUGGGAUAAUUAUACUUGAUACCUUGAUAAUUCUUUGAAGGAAUUUGUUAUACCAAGGUGGCAGCUAAUAUGUAAGUAUAUAAGAUAGAAGGUACCGACUGUUGGAUAUUGAUUUA